GUAGGUGGCAAGCGUUGUCCGGAAUUAUUGGGCGUAAAGCGCGCGCAGGCGGUCCUUUAAGUCUGAUGUGAAAGCCCACGGCUCAACCGUGGAGGGUCAUUGGAAACUGGGGGACUUGAGUACAGAAGAGGAAAGCGGAGUUCCAAGUGUAGCGGUGAAAUGCGCAGAGAUUUGGAGGAACACCAGUGGCGAAGGCGGCUUUCUGGUCUGUAACUGACGCUGAGGCGCGAAAGCGUGGGGAGCAAACAGGGAUUAGAUACCCUGGUAGUCCACGCCGUAAACGAUGAGUGCUAAGUGUUAGGGGGGUUUCCGCCCCCUUAGUGCUGCAGCUAACGCAUUAAGCACUCCGCCUGGGGCGUACGGCCGCAAGGCUG
rnacentral:rRNA from 1 species